AAUGAACGCUGGCGGCGCGCUUAAUACAUGCAAGUCGAGCGAGAAGACGUAGCAAUACGUUUGUAAAGCGGCGAACGGGUGAGGAAUACAUGGGUAACCUACCCUCGAGUGGGGAAUAACUAGCCGAAAGGUUAGCUAAUACCGCGUACGCUCCUUGGACUUCGGUUCAGGGAGGAAAGCGAUACCGUGGGUAUCGCGCUCUUGGUUGGGCUCAUGUCCUAUCAGCUUGUUGGUGAGGAACGGCUCACCAAGGCUUCGACGGGUAGCUGGUCUGAGAGGACGAUCAGCCACACUGGCACUGCGACACGGGCCAGACUCCUACGGGAGCAGCAGUAAGGAAUAUUGCGCAAUGGGCGAAAGCCUGACGCAGCGACGCCGCGUGGGGGAUGAAGGUCUUCGGAUUGUAAACCCCUUUCGGGAGGGAAGAUGGAACGAGCAAUCGUUCGGACGGUACCUCCAGAAGCAGCCACGGCUAACUUCGU
rnacentral:rRNA from 1 species